rnacentral:lncRNA from 1 species
CCUAGUCCUGCGUUUGCUGGCCAAUUCAGAUAAUGACUAUUUGAUCCUGCUCUUUUUCUUUUCUCAUGGCAUGGUGGAAUUGCUAAUAGCAGUGAAGGGUUUCUUUUCGAGUUGAACUUGCAGUCACCCACUGUUCAACAUCUCCCCACGUUAAAUAUGGUUGUUACAGCACUGACAUUUGCAACUUGAAAAGUUAAAGUUGUAUUGGUGGCAUUUCUUUGGGAACAAGCAGGCUCAUUUACAGCAUGGGAUGAGGGGAACAGCUGGGUGCUUCGCUUCAGGACUAACUUGUGUACUCAUUUUCCAUCACCUCGCUGGCUAUUUUAAAAUUAACCUUGUGCAGCCUCAGAGAAGGAAGAAAAAGGUUUAAUUGCAUGACUAAUGAACGCUAGGGAUACAGCCAGGAUCUGCACACCUGCUGUGUUACAUACCAUUUCUGGAGUUCAGUGUAAUUAUUGCGUUAUUGCUAUCAUUUGUAUUAUGUUAAGAUACAGGAGCUCUCCUCCUGUACCAAAAUCCUGCUGUGCCAGGCAGGACAGCGAUGUACAACAAAACGAUCACCUGCAACCAAAAGGCAGAGGGCAGCUUUGCCAUGCCCACGUUUCCUGGCUGGAGCCCACUUCUCCCCUCCAGCAAAGCUGGCUCCUGCAGAGAGUGAGAGCACAGGGCUGAGGCCAUGCCUGAUUUGGACCAGCAGGACUCACAUAGGAGUUGCAGUGGACAACCAACAGUUAACCCUGGAAGGAAUGCCACUCUCAGUGUUAGAGCACCUAAUAACAUGCAUCCCUGUUAUGCCAAACCAUGUAUUCAAGAGAUAAAGUGGACAAAAUGAUGGAAUGGUGGAGAAAGAAAGCAUUCCCAGCUAGGUAGGACACCGAAUUUCAGGUGUCUGAAUGUGCAAUCAGAAGGUUCCCUGUGGGUUAGGAGCAGUCCAUGGCUUAGGAGCACUCCGUAUGUGCUGGUGAGGGUCACACAGGCUGCAAUUUGCAUUCUGAAACCUUGCAGCCAUGCAAUGCAUUCCCAAGGCUUGCAGGGAGCACAUUCAUGUGCUGGAGCAUCCUAGUGCACGAUGGGGCUGAACAUUUUGGAAGGAGAUGGGAUGCACCUGCUGAAGACUCUUCCAGCUACGUUCCAGCUACAUCUGCUGCACAGAAACAGCAGCUCGUGGAAUUGCCCUGCAUUCCUGCUGCAAGACCAAGUACACACAGACAGCAUGGGGAGCUUCAGAUGUUUCUGAUGCCAUGGCACAGUGACACUGUGCAGUAACAGAUGAAGAGGAGCAGGAAGAGGGGCACAGCACAGGGCAAUUAAAUGGGAGGAAACAUGAAUCCUUCACAGCUCACUGACCUCAGGAACCAUCUCCUGUCGGAGCUGUCAGGGCACACAUCCUUCUUGCUGCCCCAUUCUGCCACGUUAAAAAGACAUCACUGCUGCUGAAAACCAGUUCUGAGCCCAGGAGACUGCAGCACUACGGAGCUUCAGGGAAGGAAAGCAAACGGCCGCAGGAUCUCCCUGGAUGCUGCCUUAUCCCCACGGGCUCUGACCCUCCCGAGCUGCAAAACACAUCUGAAGGAGGGGAUUGGGUGAGCUCAGGAGUGGAUUUCUGCAGCAACUCCGUGAAGCUGAGAGCUUUUCUAGCAACACACAUUCUGGAUCCUCUCAGAAAGGUAUUCACCUCACCUGAAUUUGGAUGGUUUGAAGUUUAAUUUGUCAGACUGAGCUAGUUAACGUGCUUCUCUCUGUAGUUAAUGGAGAGAAAUAAGAGCUGCUAGAGGGCAAUUCCUCUGACCCGUUGUUAACACUUGUCUCAGCAUGAGAGAAAUAGCCCUCUGGAGAGGCUGCCUUCUGCACUGACUGUAAAGAGACAAAGAUGAGCAGCUCAAGCUCUCAAGCCCCAUUUUUUGACAAAUCCCAUAUGAAGUGCAGGUGGGACUGCCCAGCCAGCAGCACCCCCUGCUCACCUCAACACAACUCAAAGCCUCUCACCAGCUUAAAGACCCGGACUUGUCCUUCGAAAGCUCCAUGCUGAAGAGUUGCUAUUAUUUUUCACGUAGACUUCACUGGAUUUGAUUCCCCGAAGAGCAUCUGGGGAGCACUGGGGGAACAGAGAAGGGCUACAGCUCUGUGCUCAUCCCUACUGCUCCGGGGUGAAGGUGUGAGGAGCCCCAGCCCUGAGCAGAGCAUAUGGUGGGCACAACCCAACCUGUCCCCACCAGCGGCCCCAGCCCAAGGGAUGC